rnacentral:rRNA from 1 species
GUUGAAAGACGGCCUAAUACCGUAUGAUAUCGUUUGCUGACAUCAAAUAACGAUUAAAGGUUUAGCGGUUAUGGAUGGGGAUGCGUCUGAUUAGCUUGUUGGCGGGGUAACGGCCCACCAAGGCUACGAUCAGUAGGGGUUCUGAGAGGAAGGUCCCCCACAUUGGAACUGAGACACGGUCCAAACUCCUACGGGAGGCAGCAGUG